CACCAAUGCCUGGGACCACACAAUCUGCUGUAUAUAUCUGCAAGAAUUCAUCAGCCCACCAGUGGUGCAUUAGAAUAAACCACUAUAUGCAGCUUUGCUAUACCUCAUCUGGGUUCUGUUGUAAGGACAGAAGGGCAGUGAGUUCCCGCUGUGAAGCCCUGUAACCCGCAUGGCUCUGAGGAAUACAGUAAAACCCAAUUUAAGUGCCAGCAGAGAGACUGUUCCAGAGCAGGCCUGCAGGGAGGGGGAGAAGCUCUUCUGGAAGGUGAGACAUGGGGAGUUGAUGUUUUCUCCUCACAUGCAAUUUCUGCAAUCCAUACUUUUCUCUGAGGCUGUGCCAGACACAUGGGCUAAACUGGCAUAUCCAUCUACACACAGCCUUGCCUGCUGGGUUACCGAUCUUCUCGUGCACUAAGGAAAAUGUGACAUCUGGACACAGGACCUCGUGCUGCCAGUGGUGGUGUGGCUUUCUGGCUUGUUCAAUCCUCAGUCCUUUCUGACAGGUAAGCAGUGAUGGUUGUAAGGAACCAGACAUAUGGUUUCACUGU
rnacentral:lncRNA from 1 species